GCAUAUCAAUAAGCGGAGGAAAAGAAACCAACAGGGAUUGCCUUAGUAGCGGCGAGUGAAGCGGCAAAAGCUCAAAUUUGAAAUCUGGCGCCUUCGGUGUCCGAGUUGUAAUUUGAAGAUUGUAACCUUGGGGUUGGCUCUUGUCUAUGUUUCUUGGAACAGGACGUCACAGAGGGUGAGAAUCCCGUGCGAUGAGAUGCCCAAUUCUAUGUAAGGUGCUUUCGAAGAGUCGAGUUGUUUGGGAAUGCAGCUCUAAGUGGGUGGUAAAUUCCAUCUAAAGCUAAAUAUUGGCGAGAGACCGAUAGCGAACAAGUACAGUGAUGGAAAGAUGAAAAGAACUUUGAAAAGAGAGUGAAAAAGUACGUGAAAUUGUUGAAAGGGAAGGGUUUGAGAUCAGACUCGAUAUUUUGUGAGCCUUGCCUUCGUGGCGGGGUGACCCGCAGCUUAUCGGGCCAGCAUCGGUUUGGGCGGUAGGAUAAUGGCGUAGGAAUGUGACUUUACUUCGGUGAAGUGUUAUAGCCUGCGUUGAUGCUGCCUGCCUAGACCGAGGACUGCGAUUUUAUCAAGGAUGCUGGCAUAUU
rnacentral:rRNA from 1 species